rnacentral:rRNA from 1 species
GCCUUACACAUGCAAGUCGAACGGUAACAGGUUAAGCUGACGAGUGGCGAACGGGUGAGUAAUAUAUCGGAACGUGCCCAGUCGUGGGGGAUAACUGCUCGAAAGAGCAGCUAAUACCGCAUACGACCUGAGGGUGAAAGCGGGGGAUCGCAAGACCUCGCGCGAUUGGAGCGGCCGAUAUCAGAUUAGCUAGUUGGCGGGGUAAAAGCCCACCAAGGCAACGAUCUGUAGCUGGUCUGAGAGGACGACCAGCCACACUGGGACUGAGACACGGCCCAGACUGGUACGGGAGGCAGCAGUGGGGAAUUUUGGACAAUGGACGCAAGUCUGAUCCAGCCAUGCCGCGUGCGGGAAGAAGGCCUUCGGGUUGUAAACCGCUUUUGUCAGGGAAGAAAAGGUUCUGGUUAAUACCUGGGACUCAUGACGGUACCUGAAGAAUAAGCACCGGCUAACUACGUGCCAGCAGCCGCGGUAAUACGUAGGGUGCAAGCGUUAAUCGGAAUUACUGGGCGUAAAGCGUGCGCAGGCGGUUAUGCAAGACAGAUGUGAAAUCCCCGGGCUCAACCUGGGAACUGCAUUUGUGACUGCAUAGCUAGAGUACGGUAGAGGGGGAUGGAAUUCCGCGUGUAGCAGUGAAAUGCGUAGAUAUGCGGAGGAACAGGGAUGGCGAAGGCAA